rnacentral:rRNA from 1 species
UAGGGAAUCUUCCGCAAUGGACGCAAGUCUGACGGAGCAACGCCGCGUGAGUGAAGAAGGAUUUCGGUUCGUAAAACUCUGUUGUUAGAGAAGAACAGCGCAUAGAGUAACUGUUAUGCGUGUGACGGUAUCUAACCAGAAAGCCACGGCUAACUACGUGCCAGCAGCCGCGGUAAUACGUAGGUGGCAAGCGUUGUCCGGAUUUAUUGGGCGUAAAGCGAGCGCAGGCGGUCAAUUAAGUCUGAUGUGAAAGCCCCCGGCUCAACCGGGGAGGGUCAUUGGAAACUGGUUGACUUGAGUGCAGAAGAGGAGAGUGAAAUUCCAUGUGUAGGGGUGAAAUGCGUAGAUAUAUGGUGGAACACCAGUGGCGAAGGCGACUCUCUGGUCUGUAACUGACGCUGAGGCUCGAAAGCGUGGGUAGCAAACAGG